CCCUUAGAUGUUCUGGGCCGCACGCGCGCUACACUGAUGCAUGCAACGAGUUCUAUCCUUGGCCGGAAGGCCUGGGUAAUCUGUGAACGUGCAUCGUGAUAGGGAUAGAUUAUUGCAAUUAUUAAUCUUGAACGAGGAAUUCCUAGUAAACGCAAGUCAUCAGCUUGCAUUGAUUACGUCCCUGCCCUUUGUACACACCGCCCGUCGCACCUACCGAUUGAGUGAUCCGGUGAAUAAUUCGGACUGCAGCACUGCUUGGUCUCCAGGCUUUGCAGCGGAAAGUUUAGUGAACCUUAUCACUUAGAGGAAGGAGAAGUCGUAACA
rnacentral:rRNA from 1 species